rnacentral:misc_RNA from 1 species
GUUUGAAACGAAACUUAAUGUUGUACAUGUACAUGAAACUCGGAUAGAACUUGUCAACGAUACCAAAAAAGAAAGUAAUUGGCAGCAAUGGGUUCUAUAUGAGUUAGGAUACAUUAUUUAGUAAUUUGACAGAAACAAGUUUUGAGUAUUGAACUUUUUUAUAAUUUGCAUGUACCCUGAUAAUAGUUUGACUUUUUAGUAUUUAUACGUGCACUUGUAUAUAUGUUACAUAAAAAUGCAUUAUAUAACAAAGUUGUUUAAAAACCUAUUUGAAACAUGUCAGUGUUGCCCAUGCAAAUGCAGUGGAUCACUAUAAGCAACAGGUCCAAUUGUGUAAUUAGGUGACUCUUGAUUUGUCUCAUUAGAAAAUUCUCAAG